UUAGAUUGCUAAUUUUUUUUUUAAAUUCUGAUCUGGUAGUGUUACAUUUUGAACAACUGAGCUGGACCAGAACUUUACUUUUUUUGUUUGUUUGAGUUUUUUUAAAUUUUGGGUUAUGAAAGACACAUUUAAUGUAAGAGUCCUUCAUGAAACUUCCAUUUCAUGGAGAUGUAGGAAAGUGUAGAAGUUUUUUUUCACUGACUUACAAAACUCAAGUAACAUUCUUGCAUGUCAGACUACCCCAGAGGACACAGUGCAAUAUGCUUUCCCGACUUGUUUGUGUACAUUUGUCUCUCCAAAAGCAGUUUUCCUGAACAGAAAAUGGUCACUUGAAGUCUUAAGAUCCAUUUUGUUAGUGAUAGUGAAGAAAUCGGAAUCCCUAUGAGAUCUGAAUUUGUGGAUCUAGAAUUCCUGGUUUCAAGUGGAAUGAGAAAAGGCAAAUAUUUUAAAUCAUAAUAAUGGACCUGCUAAUGGAGUAUUGACUACUGCUUCUUGUCAUCCAUCUCUUGGUGGAAAGGGAUUGUCUCAGACUUUGGUGUAGUCUUCCAGCCUACCUCUGUGGU